UACAGGGGGUGCAAACGUUGCUCGGAAUCACUGGGCGUAAAGGGUGCGCAGGCGGUCGGGUGUGUCAGAUGUGAAAUCCCGAGGCUCAACCUCGGAACUGCGUCUGAAACUACUCGACUAGAGUACUGGAGAGGGUAACGGAAUUCACGGUGUAGCAGUGAAAUGCGUAGAUAUCGGGAGGAACACCUGUGGCGAAAGCGGCGCACUGGACCACAACUGACGCUGAGGCGCGAAAGCUAGGGGAGCAAACAGG
rnacentral:rRNA from 1 species